GGGCUAGGGAUGGGUGUGUUUAUUCCAAUAAUUUUAACAGAUGUCAGUGUUCCCUCCUGGGAAAACUCUCAGCUUGAAAUGGAAGAAGUAUGAACGCUGCAAGAUGCUGCCAAGGGCCUUGCAGAGGUCCGCUUCAUGUCUGGAUAGUGGGGCACUCGUUCAUGCACUGGUCAGCCAUCCGAGCAUCAACGCGACCUGUAGGACAGCAGCUGGGAUUUUCUGCUUCUAGGGUGGUGCUUAGAUGGUUAGGGAGGAGAGGCUUUUGCUGGGAGGCCUGGAUUAUUGCAAGAUGCCAUGAGGCGCUGGGAGAAACCCCACAUCUUGAUCCUCCACUUGGGGGAAAAUGACCUUGGAUCAAUUCCCGGAUGGGAUUUGAGUGCAGUGAUCCAGUCAUAACUUGCGUAUGUUCAAAGCUUGGAUGCCUGGUGUGAGAAUCGGGUGGUCGAACAUUAUCCCCAGAUUGACGUGGAGGCAUAUGACCAACCACAGGGCUGCUUUCCAGGUCAGGAAAAAGCUGAACAGAGAUGUUAGAAAGUUAAUGUUCGAGGCUAGAGGAUUUGUUGUGAAGCACAGGAACAUUACGGCAGUGGACCCGGAGCCUCUACCAAGGCGAUGAGGUGCAUUUAUCUCACCAUGGCAUAGACCUGUUUAUUGAGGAUUUGAGACAGUCCCUACUCCUAUUUGUGUGAGUUGUGGGUGGCGGCGAGAGUUGCCCUGAAUAUGUGGGGUGAUCUUGUGUCGGUUGGACGAGUGUCAGGGGAUAGGAUGUAAUCAAGGUAGAGUGAUGGCUACUUCCGGACAGGGGUGAAGUCCUCAGACAAGCGUCUGGGGGGGGUCCCCUGUCUGUGUGAUCCGAAACCGAGAACUCCCUAAGCCAUUCUAGUAUUGAGCUAUGCUCUGCUUACUCUCCUGCAUCCCUGGUACUGCCCCAUCUUGUUAGCAUGGGUUACUACGCAUUAGCUAGUACCUGAUUGCCACCCCCUGGUCCAUGUUAUUUGUGCUGUUUGUUGGGUUCCUUGUGUUGCCACAAUAAACAUGACCUGCGGGUUUUAUAACCAA